rnacentral:rRNA from 1 species
CUACGGGGGGCAGCAGUGGGGAAUAUUGGACAAUGGGCGAAAGCCUGAUCCAGCAAUACCGCGUGAAUGAUGAAGGCCCUAGGGUUGUAAAGUUCUUUUAAUAGGGAAGAUAAUGACGGUACCUAUAGAAAAAGCCCCGGCUAACUCCGUGCCAGCAGCCGCGGUAAGACGGAGGGGGCUAGCGUUAUUCGGAAUUACUGGGCGUAAAGGGCGCGUAGGCGGAUUAGUAAGUUGGGAGUGAAAGCCCGGGGCUUAACCUCGGAACUGCUUUCAAAACUGCUAGUCUUGAGUGAAGUAGGGGGUGAUGGAAUUCCUAGUGUAGAGGUGAAAUUCUUAGAUAUUAGGAGGAACACCGGUGGCGAAGGCGGUCACCUGGACUUCAACUGACGCUGAGGCGCGAAAGCGUGGGGAGCAAACAGGAUUAGAUACCCCAGUAGUC